GCCCACUGGUGCCACUUCUGCUUUUGCACCCCACGUACCCCUCCAGUGGGGGGGUCUCAGUCCCGGUCUUCAAACUGCAUCACCAAACUCCUGCUCGCCUUCCGCCAUCCACGCAGCUUUGUCACUGGCUUUUUGUUGCUUUUUUUUUCUGCGUUCUUUUGUGGUUCCUCUCGCCAGGCCCCACAUCUUGUAGCUACUUAGUGGCACCUCCUUGGAUGCCAGGAUGCUGCAUCCUGGGCCAUGCUGAUGAGAAGAGUCACAGGGGGCCAGAGGGCAACCCUUAGUGGCCACCUUCCUUGUGGUCCAGAAAUCCUGCCUCAGCAGUGCCGGCUGAUGAGUGUCUCUCCUCUGCUUGUAUCCUUCCAGUGACAGUGAGCUCAGCACUAUUUUUUUAUUACGAUAAAAUAUACAAAUAUAAAAUACCGUUUUAACCAUUUUAGGUGCACAGUUCAGUGGCAUUAAGCACAUUCAUAUUGCUGUGCAACCAUUACCACCUUCCAUCUCCAGAACUCUUUCAUCUUCCUCAAACUGAAACCCUGUCCCCACCCAACACGAAUUCCCCCUUCCCCAGUCCCAGCAACUGCCAUUUUACCCUCUGUCUCUGUGAAUUUGAGUACUUUGAAUGAUUAGAUACUCUUGGUCCCUCACGUAAGUGGCCUCAUGCGGUAUUUGUCCUCUCGUUCCGAGCUUAUUUCUCUUAGUGGAGUCUUCAAGCCUCAUCCUUGUCGUGGACAGUGUCAGCAUUUCCUUCAUCACCUGUUUUUAAAGGUUCUUUCCCAUGUUGAGCUGAGAACCACCUUGGGGAUCCUAUAGGAAGCAUUUCUGACUAGUACAGCCCUGCCCCUGGGAGCAGACAGCAAAGGAGAGUGUACCCACAGAGGCUUCAGGGCUGGUGGAGACAGCAAGUUGAUUUCUGGCAAUAACGUCCUUGGUUGCCCACAGCUGUGCUCUUGGCUGAGGUCUGCAGCUGUGGAAGAAGGGAGGGGUCCCGGCCACUUGCCUUGAUCUCUUCUCCCUUUUGCCUGGUGUGCCCCUGGGAAAAAUGCCACCUCUGUCCUGAUCCAAUCUGGUGCAUUCAUUUCCUGGGGCUGCCGUAACCAAUGACCACUGGCUGAGUGACUUGGACCAACCGAAACAUAUUCUCUCAUGGUUUGGAGGCCAGAAGUCUGAGAUGAGAGUGUCGGCAGGGCCGUGUCCAUCCAGAGAUUCCAGGGGAGAUUUCACUCUUUCUCCCUUCCAGCUUCUGGUGGUUGUGGCCGCAUCACUCCCUUCUCUGCCUCCACCUUCACAUUGCUGCCUUCUCUGUGUCUCUUGUAAGAACACUUGUUUUGGAUUCAGGGCCCACCUGGAUAAACCAGGAUCAUCUCAUCUCAGGGUCCUGAAGGUAAUCUGUGUGUGAAGACCCUUUUUCCAAAUGAGGUGCAUAGGUCUGUGCCUGGCAUCCCUCCCUUCCUUGUCGCAC
rnacentral:lncRNA from 10 species